rnacentral:rRNA from 1 species
GACGAACGCUGGCGGCGUGCUUAGCACAUGCAAGUCGAACGGAAAGGCCCUGCUUUUGUGGGGUGCUCGAGUGGCGAACGGGUGAGUAACACGUGAGUAACCUGCCCUUGACUUUGGGAUAACUUCAGGAAACUGGGGCUAAUACCGGAUAGGAGCUCCUGCUGCAUGGUGGGGGUUGGAAAGUUUCGGCGGUUGGGGAUGGACUCGCGGCUUAUCAGCUUGUUGGUGGGGUAGUGGCUUACCAAGGCUUUGACGGGUAGCCGGCCUGAGAGGGUGACCGGCCACAUUGGGACUGAGAUACGGCCCAGACUCCUACGGGAGGCAGCAGUGGGGAAUAUUGCACAAUGGGCGGAAGCCUGAUGCAGCAACGCCGCGUGCGGGAUGACGGCCUUCGGGUUGUAAACCGCUUUCGCCUGUGACGAAGCGUGAGUGACGGUAAUGGGUAAAGAAGCACCGGCUAACUACGUGCCAGCAGCCGCGGUGAUACGUAGGGUGCGAGCGUUGUCCGGAUUUAUUGGGCGUAAAGGGCUCGUAGGUGGUUGAUCGCGUCGGAAGUGUAAUCUUGGGGCUUAACCCUGAGCGUGCUUUCGAUACGGGUUGACUUGAGGAAGGUAGGGGAGAAUGGAAUUCCUGGUGGAGCGGUGGAAUGCGCAGAUAUCAGGAGGAACACCAGUGGCGAAGGCGGUUCUCUGGGCCUUUCCUGACGCUGAGGAGCGAAAGCGUGGGGAGCGAACAGGCUUAGAUACCCUGGUAGUCCACGCUGUAAACGGUGGGUACUAGGUGUGGGGUCCAUUCCACGGGUUCCGUGCCGUAGCUAACGCUUUAAGUACCCCGCCUGGGGAGUACGGCCGCAAGGCUAAAACUCAAAGGAAUUGACGGGGCCCCGCACAAGCGGCGGAGCAUGCGGAUUAAUUCGAUGCAACGCGUAGAACCUUACCUGGGUUUGACAUGGAUCGGGAGUGCUCAGAGAUGGGUGUGCCUCUUUUGGGGUCGGUUCACAGGUGGUGCAUGGCUGUCGUCAGCUCGUGUCGUGAGAUGUUGGGUUAAGUCCCGCAACGAGCGCAACCCUUGUUCACUGUUGCCAGCACGUUAUGGUGGGGACUCAGUGGAGACCGCCGGGGUCAACUCGGAGGAAGGUGGGGAUGACGUCAAGUCAUCAUGCCCCUUAUGUCCAGGGCUUCACGCAUGCUACAAUGGCUGGUACAGAGAGUGGCGAGCCUGUGAGGGUGAGCGAAUCUCGGAAAGCCGGUCUCAGUUCGGAUUGGGGUCUGCAACCCGACCUCAUGAAGUCGGAGUCGCUAGUAAUCGCAGAUCAGCAACGCUGCGGUGAAUACGUUCCCGGG